rnacentral:lncRNA from 1 species
ACACAUCUGGUCCAACACUACUUUGGGAUAUGUUUUGCUAAGGUUGCUGUUCUGCCUGGAAGGCCCUCAUUCCUCAGCUGCAUGACCCGAGGUUUCCUUCCUCUAAGACCUUGCUAGCGGCUCCUAGAUGCCUUCCAAACCAAAUUCUCUUCUAUGAGAUCAGCUCUUAGCUUUGUAUUCCCUGGCACUUAUGGAGUAUGUUAUGGAGUUUAAAAGCUAAAGCCAAGCCAGGAAGAGGAAGACAAGAUGAGAAACCCCAAAUCAAGGUAAGAGAAGAAAAUAAGUGCAACAUGCCAGAAAUCCAGUAAAGCAGUUCAAGUAUCAGAAGAGCGUGAAUCAAAACCAAGUGCAAGAAGAGGCACCUUGACAUUGAACUGAAGGCCACCAGGUACUCACUGGGUCAAUGACUCUUCUCAUUUUUAUUCUCCUGCCAGUGCUUCCAAUCGCUGAACUGAACUGGGAACAAAUCAACAAGGGAAACCAAGAGAUGCAUUCCUUGAAGUUCAGCCUCCAGGCCUCAAGUAAGGCAGAGGAAGAGAAUACAUAGAUCUGUGGAGAAGAGUGGUGAUGGUGGGAGCUGCCAAUAAAGAACUAUCAAAAAAGACGAAGUCUUUGUCGUCCAGGCUAGAGUGCAGCUGUGUGAUCUCAGCUCAUUGUAACCUCCACCUCCUGAUACAAGCAAUUCUUCUGCCUCAGCCUCCUGAGUAGGUGGGACUACAG